UGUGCAAGUGUGUUAGCAUUUUCACAAACAUUUUCCCAAAGGAGUUAGCCUCUCAAACUUGCCACGCCACUCGAUCCUAACACGUAUGCAAAGUUAGAUCGCUCAAGUGGCACUAGAUGACCGAUAUGCAAACAAGUUUGCCCCUCUUGAUAGUACGGCCAUCUAUCCUAAAUCCGGUCAUAAACUUCUCUACACACCUAUGACCGGUGAAAUGGAAAUGCCCUAGGUUAUACCUUUUCCUUGCGCUUUCCAUUCCAUCUCCUCCAAUGUUGAUGCAACACAUGCACCAACCAAUCACCAAAUGAUAUGAUCCACUUCAUAUCAUCACAUGACCGUAUUGGUUCAUCGAUCUUGACCUCACUUGCUCUUCACCAUUGCCUCGGUCCAUCGGCGCCAAGUCUUGCUCAAGCUUCACCGUCACACGCGGUCCCUCGCUUCAAAGCCUCCGACUUGCCCUUCACUCUUGCAACCGGUCCAUC
rnacentral:lncRNA from 1 species